rnacentral:rRNA from 2 species
CCUGCAGGUCGACGAUUAGAGUUUGAUCCUGGCUCAGGAUGAACGCUGGCGGCGUGCUUAACACAUGCAAGUCGAACGAUGAUCCGGUGCUUGCACCGGGGAUUAGUGGCGAACGGGUGAGUAACACGUGAGUAACCUGCCCUUGACUCUGGGAUAAGCCUGGGAAACUGGGUCUAAUACCGGAUACGACCGCUCCACGCAUGUGGUGGUGGUGGAAAGCUUUUGCGGUUUUGGAUGGACUCGCGGCCUAUCAGCUUGUUGGUGGGGUAAUGGCCUACCAAGGCGACGACGGGUAGCCGGCCUGAGAGGGUGACCGGCCACACUGGGACUGAGACACGGCCCAGACUCCUACGGGAGGCAGCAGUGGGGAAUAUUGCACAAUGGGCGAAAGCCUGAUGCAGCGACGCCGCGUGAGGGAUGACGGCCUUCGGGUUGUAAACCUCUUUCAGUAGGGAAGAAGCGAAAGUGACGGUACCUGCAGAAGAAGCGCCGGCUAACUACGUGCCAGCAGCCGCGGUAAUACGUAGGGCGCAAGCGUUAUCCGGAAUUAUUGGGCGUAAAGAGCUCGUAGGCGGUUUGUCGCGUCUGCUGUGAAAGACCGGGGCUCAACUCCGGUUCUGCAGUGGGUACGGGCAGACUAGAGUGGUGUAGGGGAGACUGGAAUUCCUGGUGUAGCGGUGAAAUGCGCAGAUAUCAGGAGGAACACCGAUGGCGAAGGCAGGUCUCUGGGCAUUAACUGACGCUGAGGAGCGAAAGCAUGGGGAGCGAACAGGAUUAGAUACCCUGGUAGUCCAUGCCGUAAACGUUGGGCACUAGGUGUGGGGGACAUUCCACGUUUUCCGCGCCGUAGCUAACGCAUUAAGUGCCCCGCCUGGGGAGUACGGCCGCAAGGCUAAACUCAAGGAAUUGACGGGGCCCGCA